rnacentral:tRNA from 3 species
AAGGAAUUAGUUAAACCCAUAACCUUUGCUUGUCAUGCAAAAAUUAUCUUUUAAGAUAUUCCUUA